rnacentral:antisense_RNA from 1 species
CAUUGGUCUGUCUUGCCUGUCUUGGAGCACAUUUCUCACCAAGGCCAUGUUCAAUCCCCUCAAGGGAAGCCUGAGACCACAGCUACUGCCUCGAAUCAGAAGCCCCAGCCUCAUCAUCUGGGGCCAGAGAACUAGGGCAGGAGGAGCCAAGUAGCACAGCAGGAAGCAUGAGUCCCUCCGAGGAGAAGCUGGUCUCUGAGAGGAGCACAAAAUGCAGCAGGCUGGAUAAGCCCCCUGCUGAAAUCAUGGGGUAAAAAAGAGACACAGGGGGAAUGGAGGAGCCAGAGAGAAAGCGGUGUGAUCACAGGCACACAGGACAGCAGCUCAGCUUCCCGUCCUUGCUGGCUUUUGCACCCAACAGCCCAAAGCCUCCCCGCUGCAAAUUCUUUUUUUUUUUUUUUUUUUUUUUGCCAGCCUCACUUCCUCUUGGGGAAGGCUGAGCUCUGGUAGAAGAGGAGAAUGAGAACUGCUGUAAAUGCUUCUAAGGGGCCAGGCGUGGUGACUCACGCUUGUAAUUCCAAGCACUUUGGGAGGCUGAGGCAGGUGGAUCACCUGAAGCCAGGAGUUCAAGAGCAGCCUGGCCAACAUGGCGAAACCCUGUCUCUAC